rnacentral:lncRNA from 1 species
UCCAGGAAGAUUGAGAAUUGAUAAUUGCAUUCAGAUUACAUAUACAUAAUAUACACGUUUCGUAUAAAGUGGGCCUCAGCUAACAAUCUUUUAAAGUAGGGGGCCUUGGUAUAGUAAAGUUUGGGAAACCCUAGCUUAAGAAAUAUUAUAGCGAUUUUAGAACUACGACAAGCUUAAUAGUAGAUCUGGAUCCAUAAUAUACCCCACUUCUUCCCCCUUUUAUUUACAAAGUCUGGUGCUUAAAAAAAACCAUAAAAUGCCUUUAGCUUUUUGGAACUCAAAUAGAACUGUAUGACCCUGGAAAUGUAAAAAUCAUUGGAAAACGCUAGGAUUGCACACAAAAAAACUCAGAAAGUUUACUUAUUGACUAAAGAUACAGAUAUUUUUUAUUAUAUAUAUUGUAUUUUCUUGAUAUAUUCUAUAUAAGAACAAAAGCAAAAGAACCAAGACUGAUAAGCUAAAUAUUGCAGUCUCGGUUCGACUUUGUCGGUUCCGCUUCUAGAAGUUCAUGAAUUGAAACUGUUUGAACCGCUACCCCGAUAAAGAGCAACAUUCAUUGCAUACAAUCUCUAAAUUCCAUUCCAGAUUUAAUAAAAAAAAUAGAUUCAUGGAGGUUGAUUAAUCAGUUAUGAAAUCAUCCAUGGCAUCUUCAGCGCGCCCUAGUAGUCAAAAAAAUAUUGAUGACAAAUAAAUUUUAAUAAAAUUAAUCAUAUGGUGCGUAGUUCUUCUCUGGGAUUAUAAUUCUAGCCAAGUAUGUAUGGAGUCUUUUGGAGUCCAAGACGCUUCACUUCAACUCAUAGAACCUCGGGAAAUGAUUAACUUUGCAAAGAUGUGAUAUAAUUCUCCUCUCUUGUUUGCUAAUAUCGUCAACUCUAGAAAAUUUAAUCGUUAUUUCCAAUACGAUCCUUUAUUUUAUUGAGACUCUUCGAUAUCCAAAUUUAUAUUAUAAUGAUGAUAUGUUGGAUGUAUUAUCAAAAGGAAUUGUCUCCAACUUUAAAAACUUCAUUUAUUAACUAUAGAUGAUGUUGAUGUUCUAGCCUUUUACAUUCUUUGAAUUCAAUUAUCAAUAAUAUAAUUAAUUACUACACCACUAUCUCCUUUAGACAUCUAUGCAUUACCGUUCUACAAAAUCCAAGUUAUCCUCUUUGUAGUUCACUAACUUAAAAGAUACAUGUUCGAUCUGGUUCGAUUUAUCAAUGAAGUCAAUGGACUAUCGAUAAAUCUAAUGUAUUUAAGAAUACAAACGGCGUUGAGCUCCUACAGGAUUCAGGAACUAAUAAAUUAUAAUUUGCAAAUCUGUUAUUGCUAAAUUCAGUUUUUCGUUGAUUCAAUUAUUAAAUAUUGUUCUAUUAACCAAUUAAUCUAAUAUUAUAGUAUACAAUUCAUAAAGGAAUUAAUUUGAGUUCUUAAUUGAUUAAUCAGUUCGUUUAGGUAAUAAACCAUUCGUAGAGGUGGACCAUCAUAUAGGCUUAAAAUUCUUCGGCCGUCUUCGCAUAUCUGAUAGACUCUAAACGAUACUUGGAUAUUUUUAAUUUGAAGAGAGAUUUAAACGUCAAUUAAAUAUGUAUUGGAGUUAUCCAUGGAAUAAAUGGCAUUAUCUUGCUGAAGUGCAUCCGUUAUAUUCCUUUUCAAGACUGAAGUUGGAUUCACGGAUAUAAAUGUGGGCCCUCUUAUUAAUUAUUGAUAGGAUUGAUGGUGGUGUUGAAUGUAUCGUACGUCUGUUCCUCCAAUUCUUUAUCCUGAUCAAAAGCUACUUGAAUGAUUUUCUCUACGGUAUCUAGCCUAUUUAGUUAAAGAUGGGAGUUGUAAAAAUGAAGAGAAAUAUCAAAAUAAAUGGGAAUAAUAGGCAGUACCAAAAGAGAAUAUUCAUUAAUAGGCAGAAUGUUUCGAACCAAAAUACUCAAACCAUGAGAUUUUCAAAUCAAAACACGUUUAUGAAGAACUUUAUUCGGAAGUUUGAUGAUUAUUUUCUUGUUUAGAAGAAUAAAAUGGAAAAUAAAAAAUAUCCUGCGAUACGAAAUUCCAAACAUUUUUCAUAACAGUACAGUUUGUCGACUAAACUUGAUAGUCGAAUGAAAAAAAUGUAGGACGAUUGUUUUAAGUGUCUAUAGAAAAAAUAUAUUUUUUUAAUUAAAACAUAAAGCUUUUUUUCGUAACAAAAUAGCUCCUGGUGUGAUAAAAACGGGCAGAGAGGGCCUUUCUUUUUAUAUUAAACGGUUGUCCACAUUAUUUUAAGCAUAUCUUUCCUUUAGGUAAAUUUUAUACAAAUAGGAAAAUAGACAUUGAUAAAGUAAAUUGAUUUCAAUUGUUUGUUUUCUAUACGCAGAAACAAUUCGAAAUAUUAACAUAACUUAGGAAUAGAAUCAUUUGAGCAAGGUUAAUAUAUUACAUAUGUAUGUAAGGCAGCAAAUUACCUAUAUAAGUACACAAAAUCAUAAAUUUAAGUAUAUGAAAUGUAGUCAAAGAAUGUUAAAAUCAAGUAUUUCAAAUGAAUGGUUUUGUCAAACGUAACUGUGUUACCCUCGUAGCAUUUAAUUUUUGAAAUUAAUUUACAAUUUUUAUUAAAGUCUUUUACUCGUCACUGGUAAUAUAAAAAGAAAUUGAAAGUGUAAUUAAUAUUUGUAAGAAGUGGAAUACCAGUAGAGUGUGCAAAGUUUUUAUAUUUUCCUUUAAUAGGUCAAAUGCUGUUGCACUGACUAAGUAUAAGUAAAUAAUAUUGUAUUACAAUUACUUCAUCUGACUUAGGAAUUGUCUUUAAAGUCCCUAUCUAUUCCUAACAUAUUUUAUUAUCUAGGAGUGAGCGAGAAUCGAACCUAUUCACAUGGAAUUGAAGUGAACAAUAUGCAUUUUAAAGUGUGCGGAGAAGGCGUGAGCAAGACAUAUGGUAUUACUGAAUUAAGACACUUGUUAAUAUCAGCUACCUAUUAUAUGGUUUUUGGU